rnacentral:rRNA from 1 species
AUUGAACGCUGGCGGCAUGCCUUACACAUGCAAGUCGAACGGUAACGCGGGGCAACCUGGCGACGAGUGGCGAACGGGUGAGUAAUGUAUCGGAACGUGCCCAGUAGUGGGGGAUAGCCCGGCGAAAGCCGGAUUAAUACCGCAUACGACCUGAGGGUGAAAGCGGGGGAUCGCAAGACCUCGCGCUAUUGGAGCGGCCGAUAUCAGAUUAGCUAGUUGGUGGGGUAAAGGCCUACCAAGGCGACGAUCUGUAGCUGGUCUGAGAGGACGACCAGCCACACUGGGACGGAGACACGGCCCAGACUCCUACGGGAGGCAGCAGUGGGGAAUUUUGGACAAUGGGCGCAAGCCUGAUCCAGCCAUGCCGCGUGCGGGAAGAAGGCCUUCGGGUUGUAAACCGCUUUUGUCAGGGAAGAAAAGGCUCGAACUAAUACUUUGGGCUCAUGACGGUACCUGAAGAAUAAGCACCGGCUAACUACGUGCCAGCCGCCGCAGUAACAC